rnacentral:rRNA from 1 species
ACGGAAGGCAGCAGUAGGGAAUAUUGGUCAAUGGAUGGAAGUCUGAACCAGCCAUGCCGCGUGCAGGAAGAAGGCGUUAUGCGUUGUAAACUGCUUUUGCCAGGGGAUAAAAAGGGAGUGCGCUCCAAAUUGAAGGUACCUGGUGAAUAAGCCACGGCUAACUACGUGCCAGCAGCCGCGGUAAUACGUAGGUGGCGAGCGUUGUCCGGAUUUAUUGGGUUUAAAGGGUGCGUAGGCGGCUAUUUAAGUCAGCGGUGAAAUAUCUCAGCUUAACUGAGAGGGUGCCAUUGAUACUGGAUAGCUUGAGUACAGAUGAGGUAGGCGGAAUUGACGGUGUAGCGGUGAAAUGCAUAGAUAUCGUCAAGAACACCGAUAGCGAAGGCAGCUUACCAAGCUGUAACUGACGCUGAGGCACGAAAGUGUGGGGAUCAAACAGGAUUAGAUACCCUGGUA